rnacentral:rRNA from 1 species
CCUACGGGGGGCAGCAGUGGGGAAUUUUGGACAAUGGGCGCAAGCCUGAUCCAGCAAUGCCGCGUGCAGGAUGAAGGCCUUCGGGUUGUAAACUGCUUUUGUACGGAACGAAACGGCGAGCUCUAAUACAGUUUGCUAAUGACGGUACCGUAAGAAUAAGCACCGGCUAACUACGUGCCAGCAGCCGCGGUAAU